UGUGUCGUACUGAACCAUAGUACUGUAGUAUAUCCUAUCCUGUCCUUAAAGGAUGUUUCACACUCUAUUAUUGUUCUAUAGUCUUUAGUGUCACAUCUCGGUUUGUGGUUUUGUUUUAUUCUGUUUAUAUUCUGCUCAGUAGUGGAGACACGGAUUAGUCGGUUGGACAGCUUGGGUGGGUGGGGGGUCUACAGAAAUAUUUUUUUGAUGGGGUUGCAAAACUAAAAGACAAACAAAGAAAAAACCCUCUGUCUUCAAAAGUUUCAUCACACCCUGAGACUCGGUUUCCUGAAGGUACUUUUCAUAGGAAACAGGAUCAGAACUUGUUCGUUUCCAGUAAGUAUCUGUGUGAAAUUCCCAGGACUGAAACUCUGAUUCGAAGUUUUGUUUAAACCUCAGGAAGGGCUGAUUUCCUUUGUCCUGAUAAAAAAAAGUCCAGAAAUACAAACCUUAUAUCACAGGGUGUUUCUUUUGUUCUCUAUCUCCUCUGGUGUUUCCAGCCUGUCUGCGGUCUUUCUUCAGUCAAACUGGUUUCAUUUGGCUUUUAACUCGUCUUGAAGCAGUAAAAUGGAGGUAUUUCAUCCCCGCAGAUUGCUUAAGUGCGUCUUUCUUCUUAACGUUGCCCCCGUUGUUUGUGCAACAGCUUUUAUUGCUGUAUAAACCCGAGUUUAACAGGCGGCUGUUUGAACAGCAGCACUGAGUCACCGCGUUUGUUCUCUGCUGGAAGUUUAACUCAUUAAAUUUGGCUUACGGGAGGUAAAAUAUCACAUCCUGACACACGCUCCGCAUCAGGAACCAACCUGGAAAUCAUUUUCACUCUUUUAGUUUCACAGCCACACAACGCCGACUUCACCGGAGUCUAAAGAAGAGUGACAGGGAUGGGUCCACUGACUCAUUCCGGCCUCUUCUAGAGUUUCAGGUGUGCCACGCCUGUCUGAGAGCGCGGAUUACCCUCACCUGAGCGUUCUGUCAUCAGCACAGGAGCUGCAGACCAACCCUCAGAUCCACAGCGAUUGUUGCUUCUGUGGCACACCUGACUCAGCUCCGUUUGGGCCCGAUUACAGUAACCCUUUGGUGGGCAAUUAAGCGAAAUGGCGUUGGAUGGGGCUUUCCCCUUCCUUUCAUGGAUUUUGUGAGUAUUAGUCAAGAAGUUGGAGCUUUUCUUUCAGGUUCAGAUCCAAACAGAGUUGUAGAAGAAUUCCCAGAGUGAUUUGCAAACGGAAACUUACAACACGUGUUUCCAAAUCAUCCUUUCGAGAACUCGCUCGCAGUAUUUCACAAACCGCUUUCAUAACCCUCUCGCUGUCAGUGUUGUGCAGCCAUUGAGGGGGGGUUGGAGUGAAAAUACAAAGUAAAAAUACAAAAGGAUUUUUCCUCCGCCCCCCCGUCCACAAACCAGAGACUUGGCGAAGUUUUCAAUUAAUAGCAGUGAUUUAUUACAGCUGACAAACAGCAGAACCAAAGCAAAUAACAACUCAUGGUGAACAAAAGCUGCUCCAUAAAACAAAACAAACAACGUCUUUGCGAAUGUCAGAGGAACGUUGGAUUGAACCUGAUGUGACUCUCCUCUCUGCAACCCACCUCCACUCCUCCUCCUCCUCCUCCUCCUUCUUAAACUGUCAUUUCUGUUUUCACUGAUACCUGCUCUCUUCUGCAACCCAGAGAUCUUUGCUGAUGGUCCCUUGAUGAAUGCAUCCAACCAUCGUCUGCCGCCUAUGGUUUUGGCGUUUACGCUUGUGGAAGGGCAGGUAGCUCUCAAGAUGAAGUCACACUCCUAAACAUGAUAAUCAUACCUUUAUUUAUACGGCAUUUGCUUUGAUGGAAAAGCAAAGCAUGCAUAACGUUCCCCUUCAAUCGGAAUCAUUGUUCGGUAUCAUCCUUUCUUUGUCCAUCCAGGUUUUUAUGCUAAUCAUCUUCUAGGUCAAAGCCAAUCCUUGAGAGACAGUUUCAGUCCGAUUGUGUAAACCAGAGAGAAAAUCGAACUGCAUUAUUUUUGCUUUCGUUGCAAACUUAAAUCAAGUUUUCGAUUUAUGAAUGCACCGACUGAUUCUGCACGUCUUCUUAGUUAACCUUUGAUUUCGAAAAGUUCUUGCAAAAGAGGAAACGAUUUUUGACUUUGCAAUAAUCGUAAGUAUGCAGAAGGUUCUGGAGGACAGAAGAAGCUUCUUCUACCGUUUUUCUGGAUAUCCUGAUGUGAAUGAAGGUCAGAGCAUCAAUGUUUACUUUGUUUUUUUUUUUUUACGUUGUCAGUGUCAUCUCAGAGUUUCCAGUGUUUUCAGUGAUAUUACAGAUGCUCACACUGAUUUCAGCUCUCUGACACUGCCGCCGUCUUCCCUGUUUUUCUUUCCUUAUGUCACUGCAGUCACAGUGUCUCUCCGCGUCUGUCUCAUCGUCCUCUCAGUUCUCUCUCUGAGCGUUUACUCUACAUACUUCUCCCAGUGUGGUUACAGUGAAGCUCUCUGUUCUUACAGAUUUAACGUUUUCUGUUGGGCGUGUCCGAGAUCUUCCAACUUAACCAGUAAACAUAUUGUUAAAGUCGACACAGUUGGCCCAGAGUCCUGAAUGGAUUUAUAAUGUGGUGAAAACACAGUCAGGCUGUGUGAGAGGGGAAGGGAGGGGGAGGGGGACACAGAAGAGAGAGAGAGAGAGAGAGAGAGAGAGAGAGAGGGAUGGGGGUGGUGGUAAUGACUUCCAGCUGCCUGAGGCCGAGCAGAGGAGGAUGUUUGAUUUCUACACAGUCAGAAACAGGCGCUGUGACCUGCUGAAUUUAACAUGUCAAAGAUGUGACUCUCCUACUUGUGUUAGAUUGUUCUUCCCCAAAUUCAAACAAAUAAUAUUGAGAUGUAGUGGUCUGUGGAUGAGGUCAGGGGGUUGUGUUGGUCUAGUGGUGAGGUCUUUGAGGUUUCAAGGGUCUGGUAAAUGGGCUAAGUGAGAUUUGGUGGUCUAGCGAGGGAGUAAGUGAGGUUUUGCAGCAAGGUUCGGUGUUUCAGUGAAGUAUAUAGUGUAUCAUUAGUGGUCAGCAAUAUCUGGUGGCCUGGCGAAUGAGGUUACUCGGGUUUGGUGAAGCAGUAAUGAGGUUCGCAGGGCUUUGAAGGCUGGUGAGGAGGUUAUUAAAGUCAAGGGAAGUGGUUCAGUGAGGUUUUGGCGGUGAAGCGUAGAGGUCAAAAAUGAUCGGUG
rnacentral:lncRNA from 1 species